rnacentral:piRNA from 1 species
UAGUGUCCAGAUUGGAAUCCUGAUGCUAAA